rnacentral:rRNA from 1 species
UUUCCCUAGUACGGCGAGUGAAGCGGGAAGAGCUCAAAUUUGAAAUCUGGUGGCCUCAGGUCAUCCGAGUUGUAAUCUAUAGAAGUGUUUUCCGUGCUGGCUCAUGUACAAGUCCCUUGGAACAGGGCGUCAUAGAGGGUGAGAAUCCCGUCCUUGACAUGAACUACCAGUGCUCUGUGAUACAUUUUCAACGAGUCGAGUUGUUUGGGAAUGCAGCUCAAAAUGGGUGGUAAAUUCCAUCUAAAGCUAAAUAUUGGCGAGAGACCGAUAGCGAACAAGUACCGUGAGGGAAAGAUGAAAAGCACUUUGGAAAGAGAGUUAAACAGUAUGUGAAAUUGUUGAAAGGGAAACGAUUGAAGUCAGUCGUGCUCUUUGGAUUCAGCCGGUUCUGCCGGUGUACUUCCUUUGAGUGGGGUCAACAUCAGUUUUGAUCGCUGGAUAAAGGCUGGAGGAACGUAGUACCCUCGGGUAAACUUAUAGCCUCCUGUCACAUACAGUGGUUGGGACUGAGGAACGCAGCACGCCUUUAUGGCCGGGAUUCGUCCACGUACGUGCUUAGGAUGUUGACAUAAUGGCUUUAAACGACCCGUCUUGAAACACGGACCCC